rnacentral:rRNA from 1 species
CUGCUCAGAUUGAACGCUGGCGGCAGGCUUAACACAUGCAAGUCGAGCGGGGGAAGGUAGCUUGCUACUGGACCUAGCGGCGGACGGGUGAGUAAUGCUUAGGAAUCUGCCUAUUAGUGGGGGACAACAUCUCGAAAGGGAUGCUAAUACCGCAUACGUCCUACGGGAGAAAGCAGGGGAUCUUCGGACCUUGCGCUAAUAGAUGAGCCUAAGUCGGAUUAGCUAGUUGGUGGGGUAAAGGCCUACCAAGGCGACGAUCUGUAGCGGGUCUGAGAGGAUGAUCCGCCACACUGGGACUGAGACACGGCCCAGACUCCUACGGGAGGCAGCAGUGGGGAAUAUUGGACAAUGGGGGGAACCCUGAUCCAGCCAUGCCGCGUGUGUGAAGAAGGCCUUAUGGUUGUAAAGCACUUUAAGCGAGGAGGAGGCUACUUUAGUUAAUACCUAGAGAUAGUGGACGUUACUCGCAGAAUAAGCACCGGCUAACUCUGUGCCAGCAGCCGCGGUAAUACAGAGGGUGCGAGCGUUAAUCGGAUUUACUGGGCGUAAAGCGUGCGUAGGCGGCUUAUUAAGUCGGAUGUGAAAUCCCCGAGCUUAACUUGGGAAUUGCAUUCGAUACUGGUGAGCUAGAGUAUGGGAGAGGAUGGUAGAAUUCCAGGUGUAGCGGUGAAAUGCGUAGAGAUCUGGAGGAAUACCGAUGGCGAAGGCAGCCAUCUGGCCUAAUACUGACGCUG